UAGGAGUUACGGAACAGUUAAGGUGGAAAAGGUACCUGAGCCAAGUAUCCGUUAUGGAAAUCCUCUACGGAGGUAACACAGAGUGGAGCGGACAGUGAUCAGCUGUGAGGCGGCCGGGUUCUGUUGGUGUGUGACGUCACAGAGGCGCGAUUUCCUAAUACAGCAGUUGUUCCUUAGAAGAGUGCAGGCUGACACAGCGAGCUUCGCAGCAUAUGCGAUUUUUGUCCGUUUGAUGACUCCGUAGGAAUCCGGUGCGCAUGCGCAGUUGCAAACCAUAGACACAGAGGGCAGUCAUCGAGGGACGAGUAUGUCACUUGGUGAGGGGUACUUUAGGGUGGUCACCCCAGGGCCCUGAAGAAAACGUGUGCCGCACCCUUAUCAGCCAGAGCAGAGCUAAGGAACAAAAGAAGUGACCCUACAAAACUGGCGUCAGAAGUGGAAUGAAACAGGGAACUCUCGGAAGGUGAGUUGAACAAAGAGUCUUUUUAUUCUGACCUUUUUUCUCUUACCACGAGACCCCUUAAGUUUCAUUUUACAUAGGAAUAGUUGGGGAAUAUAUAUAUGUGAAUCUUUGGUAGAUUCUAAAAGAGGAAUAAUAGAUUUUUUUGGUAAAAAUCAGGUUAAAUAUAUAUAUGAAUCUUUGGUAGAUUCUAAUCAAAUCUUUGAUUAAAAAAUAAAAAGGGAAUAAAAGAUUUCUUUGGUAGAAAUCAGGUUAUAUAAAGUCUGGCUGAAGGGUUAAAACACACGUUUUCUUACUGCUUGCUUUUGAAAUAUUGCUGUAUGGCUAACAUUGUUUUAAAGUUAUAAGAUAAAUACUGCAUUGUUUAUAUGAAUUUUCUUGCUUCUUGUUUUUAAAUAUGCUGUAUGGCAAAAUACUGUUUAUUUGUCUAAAGUGUUAAGGAAGUAAAAUACUGCUUAUUGUUUAAAGUAUUAAGAAAGUAAACUGUUGUUAAUAUGUAUUGCUGUUUUUAAAUGUUAGUAAAAGGCUACAUUUUUUCUGGUGAAGGGUGACCUUUGACCUAGAGAUAAUUAAUGCCAGAAACUACUGAAAGGAUCAGCAUAGUGAUAUUUUUUUUUUCUUUCUCUUGUUGUAAACUUAAGCAUUAAGCACAAUAACUGGUAACGGAGUACAACCAUUCUAGUUAAUGUGUUUUAUGCAAAAAGAUUAAAUAAUUAAUUGCUCUUAAAGGUAAAGGUAUUGUAUUUUUUAUUUUUAUUAUUUUUUAUUAUUUAUUUAUUUUUUUUGUAUUGUAUUAUAUUUUGUUGUAAAUGUUUUAAAAGAUAAGUUAGGAGUUGAGAAUGGGCAAAUCCCAGUCUAAACAAUUUCCAUCACCUAUGCAAGGAGAAAAAUGUAAAGAUUAUGUGGGAAAAUAUAGCAGAUUGGACAGAAGCUAUGAGAAGCUCUGAUCCAUUCCCCAGAGAGGGGGAUAAUGAUAAAUUUCAUAUGAAAAUGGUAAAAGGGUUGUGUCUAGGUGAUGAAGAGGCAUUUCCAUGGUAUAAUGGUGAUCCAAGAUGGUUAUAUGGAUUAUAUGAAAAAGGGUGGGGAAAAUUGGCUGACUGUUGCUCCAUACUGGCGAUAUAUUGAUAUAGAUGGGAAUAAAAAGAAGGGUAAAAUUGAGAAGCAAAAACAGAAAGCAUAUUCACCCCCCCUGCCCCAUAUAAUGCCCCUCACCUACCUUUGCCAUCAUAUAACAGACUAUAUCCUAGCAUCCCAUCCCCUAGUGACAUAGAUCUAGAGACUAUUGCUAUUGCCUCUGCUCAGGUACCCCAGGAAUGGACCUUGCCAGGACCUUCUGUAACUCCCUGAUACCAGGUCACUAAACCCCCAAUUAUGCCCAAACCCCCGAUUAAGGUUGAACCAGUAACACCUUCCUACCCCCCUACAAUAACCCCACAAUAUAAAAGAGGGAAUGAAGAAGUAGAGGAGGAGGAGGCAGCUGUACCAGAAGCUAGUAUGCCAUUUCUUACUGUGGGAGACCAAUUAAUUAUUAAACCUUUGUCCCCUGGUGAAUUAAGGGAAAUUACCAAGGGAGCCCCAAACCCGUCAACAUCCAUCAGCUUGUAUUAUGUAUUUAAAAAGAAUGUUACAAGGACAAAACAUGACACAGACAGAUAUAAGAAUUAUUAUUGAUGCACUUCUAGACUAUGACCCUGAAUCAGGUUGGGAGUGGGGUAAUGUAAAGAGUAUUAGUAAAUUGAGUCGAGAUCCAACAAUUAACUAUGCCCUAAACACACGUGAAGGACUUGAUGAAAUGUGGACAGAAUUAAGUAUAGAAAUGCAUAGAAUAUGGAAGGAUAAACAAAGUAUGUCAAUUGCACUAGCGUGCAAACAGAAUACAAAGGAAACAGUAGUAGAAUUUGUUAAGCGUUUUUAUAAAUGCUGGAAGGAAGAGGCUGGAAUGGAAUCAGGAGAUGCAAUGGGCUCUCUGAAGGUCCAGACUUGCAUUAGUAAUAUGCAACCUCAGCUUUCUUUGUUGGUGAAACAACUUGUCUCUGAUUGGCCAGAGUUGACUCCAGCAGAAUUCUUGAAAAGAAUUCAUGAAAAAGAAGGGGCAGGUUGUUUUGACAUCAGGAAAUUAGAGGGAAAAAACACUGCUUUUUAUCAAAAGCAGAGUUUACAACAUUGUGAUCCAUUCCAGGCCAGGGAAAGGAAUAAUACAGGGAGUAAUAGAAUGUAUGUGAGAGGUAGAGGGAGAGCUAGAGGAAGAGCUAGAGGGAAUUAUACUUCAAACAGAACACAUUGUUUUAACUGUGGGGAACAGGGACAUUGGAAAAAUGAAUGCCCAAAACCCCCUAAUAAUUCUGGCCCCCCUUACAAUCCCCGACAGUAUAACAGACAGCCUUACAUAGCCCCUGCACCCAUGGAGGCACCCAAACACAACAUACAAUGGCCAUAGGGGUGCCUAGAAGGUAGCACUCCAAUUUUUCCAGUGGUGUCAACAAGUUAUCAUGAGCAACCGUACUUAGUCCUAGAAGUAGAGGGAGAACCCCUACCAUUUCUAGUAGACACAGGAGCUACAUGCUCUGCCUUAUGCUCAGAUAUGUAUGAUGGCAUUACUGAAAAAUCUGAACCUUCUCUAGGGAUUAAUGGAGUGCUGACUCAGACUCGCAUCACACCGCCACUUGAAGUUAGGGUACCCUGUACUGGCCAGCAACUUUUGCACCCAUUUCGUAUUAUAACUGGGUGUCCCCUUAACCUUUUGGGUCGUGAUCUUAUGGGUCCCCUUGGUUUGAAAGUAGCUGUCACUAGACAGGGUGGGUUAGACGUGAGUCUAGGGUCCACUAACCUGUGUUUUUUUAAUGACAUAUUGACAGAUGUCCCAUCCUCUGUAUGGGCAUCUUCAAAACUUGACGUUGGUUUAGUUCAGUGUACCCCAUAUAAAGCCAGAUUAAAACCUAAUACUACUCCAGUGUUUAUUAAACAAUAUCCAUUGUCUAGAGAAAAGAAAGAAGGGAUAAGACCCAUGAUAGAGGAAUUCCUUAAACAAGGAAUCCUCCGUCCAGUAGUUUCUCCCUAUAAUACCCCCAUAAAUCCGAUCCCAAAGAAAGACAAUGAAUAUAUGUUAGUACAAGACCUAAGGGCAAUUAAUGAAAUAGUAAUCCCAAUUGCCCCAAUUGUCCCAGAUGUUACAACCUUACUCACAGCCAUUCCACAUGAUGCCUGUAUAUUUACAGUCAUUGAUUUAGCUAACGCAUUUUUUUCAGUCCGAUUGGACCCUGAGACACAGCUACUUAUGGCUUUUUAUUAUGAUGGGCGUCAGCUUACCUGGACACGCCCCCUCAAGGCUAUGUGGCCUCACCUGCGGUCUACUCACUGGUGCUCCAACGUACUUUGCGGUCAUGGACUCCCAGCCAAGGUUCCGUCCUCCUUCAGUACGUCAAUGACCUACUGUUGUGGAGUCCUAACCAGGAGGCUAAUACAGUAGAUACAAUAAGUCUGUUAAAACACCUUGCUGCUGAAGGUCAUAAAAUAGCAAAACAUAAGCUACAAGUAGGAGUGACAAAAGUGGAUUACCUUGGUUUUGUGCUUUCCCAAGGCCACCGGUCCAUUAGUCCCAAACGAAUCCAAGCGAUUCAACAGAUCCCAAAGCCAGUUACUAGAAAGGACAUGCUCACCUUUCUAGGUAUGAUUAAUUAUUGCAGACAAUGGAUUCCUGAGUGCUCCCAUCAUGAUUCCAUUCUAAGGCAAGCCACAAAAGGGGAUAGCCCUGAACAUAUACAAUGGACCACAGACAUGACUAAAUCCUACAUAGCUCUGAAGACUAGCAUUAUUAGUGCUCCUGCUUUAGGACUACCUGAUUAUUGUAAACCAUUUCACUUGUAUGCGAGGGACAAUUGUAAAACCAUGGCUGCUGUCUGUGCCCAAGAGCAUGGUGGAGGCAAUAUGCGUCCCGUAGCUUUCUUUUCCAAAGUAGUUCCAAUACCGGUACAAGGGAUGCCGGCCUGUCUCCGAGCAUUGGCGGCUUGCGCCAUGGCUGUAGAGAUGGUUGAAACAAUCACAUUAGGCCAUCCAAUAGUACUACACACUAGUCACCAAGUUUUACAUCUUGUAAAAAAUGUCACUACCCAACACAUGACUUCUCAAAGACUUUCUGGUUAUGAAUGUAUAUUACUGAAUAAUACAAAUCUGACUAUUAAAUAUAGUAGUGUAUCCUCAGGGCCAACUCAAGUAAGUAAGUGCCUUACUUACAGGAUCACCAGACUUUCCAACAGAUCAUGAUUGUAUAGAGGUAAUACACCACAUUACCACACCAAGACCUGACUUGAUGGAUAAACCUUUUGACCAUGCUGAUAAUGUGUUUGUUGAUGGUUCUUGUUCCCGACCUAGUGAUGGUAUUUAUAAGACAGGCUAUGUCGUUGUGCAACUACCAGACAUUGUUCUAGAUGCAGGCCCCAUUCCUUAUCCUUCUGCACAAGCUGCAGAAUUAAUAGCACUUACAAAAGCAUGUAAAUUGUUUGAAAAUAAAUCUGUUAACAUUUACACUGACUCUCGCUAUGCUUUUGGGGUUGUGCACGAUUUUGGUAUGAUAUGGAAACAACGUGGUUUUGUUUCAGCAGAUGGCAAGACCAUUUCUCAUACAGACCUGAUUAAUGAACUUUUAGAGGCCAUACAACUCCCAAAGGACAUAGCGAUCAUACAUUGCCGUGCACAUACAUACAAGUCUGACCCUAUUUCCUUGGGUAAUGCACUUACAGAUAAAAUUGCUAAAGAGGCUGCUUAUGUUUCUCAUACACCCAAAUCCACCAUCCGUAUGUAUGCUGUUUUAGCCCCACCUUCAUGUCCUACAGACCAUAUGCUUCUUGAACUCCAGGGACAUGCCACUCCUAGUGACAUAUCUUUCUGGACUACUAAUGGGUUAGCUUUAGAUGAGAAUGGUUUGUUUUUCUAAAGAGGGGAAGGUGGGCAUACCGGAAAGCAGUGCACCACUCUUUAUAGCACAAGCCCAUGGUGUUGGACACCUAGGUAUAAAACCAACAACUAACUUGUUGAAGCAAUCUUUCUACAUUAGAGGUAUAGGUGAUCAUUGCAAGGCAUAUAUUAAUAGAUGUGUAUAUUGCUUACAGACCAAUGCAACCAUCCCCAAUAAAGCCCAGCAUGACCACUUACCCCCACCUACAGCCCCAUUCACACAUCUACAAAUUGAUUUUACACAUAUUCCAAAAACACUGGCACUAAACAAUUAUAUCUGCUUUUAAUAGUUGACCAAUUUUCUAAGUGGCCAGAAGCUUUUGUUACCCAGAGGGAAGAUGCAAAAACAGUCGCUAAAAUUUUAGCCACUGAAAUAAUUCCCAGAUUUGGUUGUCCGCUUCAGAAUAAUUCUGAUAACGGUCCAGCGUUCAUUAGUAAAAUCACACAUGAGUUAGUAGAAUGGUUACAGAUUAAUUGGAACUUUCACAUUCCCUACCAUCCUCAAAGCUCAGGGAUUGUAGAAAGAAUGAAUCGCAAUAUCAAGGAAAAACUUUUAAAGGCAACAGCAGGUACAUGGGUUAAAUGGCAAAACUAUUUACCUGCGAUUUUAGCAGAAAUCAGAAUGACCCCCAAAUAGGACAACCAGGUUGUCUCCAUUUGAGGUCCUAAUGGGUAGACCAUUCCCAACUCCAUGGGUAAAAGGCCCACUUAUCAUUAAAAAUGGUGAUUUAGAUUGUAUUAAGGAACAAUAUGUAAAACAAUUGAUUGAUAAAUUGAAUGGCAUCUAUGGUGAUGUGUCUUCCCGUUUACCUCUUCCCUCACAGGAACCAACCCAUCCUUUCAAGCCUGGAGAUCUGGUCUGCAUUCGCCAGCUGAAUAAAGCAAAGAAAGGAGGUUUCCCGUUCAGCAAGCCAGUCACUGUGAUCGCUGUAACCAGGACUGCCGUACUGACUGACGACAAGGACAUCUGGAUACACGCUUCACGAGUGAAACUCUGUCCAAAGAGAGGAGAAGCGGGUGACAAGCUAUCGGUCACCCCUCACAAAGGAGAAGUGGGUGAUAAGGUAUCGAUCACUCCUCACAAAGACCAGGAUGACGAUCUCAAUCAUGGAUCCAAGACAUUUCUGCAAGAUCUUCCUUUUCCAAAUGGGGAUAUUGAUAUUUGUGUAUAUCCCAAUAGUAUUAAUAACAGCAUGUUAUUACUCACCUGAAGAUGCUGAACCCUUUACACCUAUUUGUUUACUAUUAUUAACAUUGUUUAACUGUUACAUGUCUUGUACUUUAGGAAAGAAAAUAUCAGGUAUGAUACAAGAUGCAGAAAAAGUUCAACUGCAAAAUUUAAUUAGAGGUAGACCCAGAUAGUUUAUAUUGUAGGAACAUUACAGAUUAUGUGAUCACGAUGUGAUCAAAGAGGGGAAUGAUGGGUAUAUAUGUGUGUAUGUAUGUAUAUGUGUAUAUAUAUAUAUGUAUAUAUAUAUGUGUGUAUAUAUAUUAUAUAUAUUAUGUUAUAUGGGUAAUUUGAAUCUCACAUAUUAAGCAUAUUGAGGGUAACUUUAAAUCUUGUAUCAAAUGUUUAUAAAGCAGCAUUCCACAAGUUUCUUUUUGUAUAAGUUGUAACAUAUGGUUCUAAUAUAAGUUCCUCUCUACAAAUGGAUAUGAGCAUAUUCUGUUAUGUGCUAUAACAACAUUCUUAUUUCCUGUGGGCCCCUUAUGCAGAUGUGAAGUUAACUACGUUUUUUAUAUAUUUCCUGUGACCUCAUGUAUGAUGUAUACAUCACUAUAAAACCUUUGUGUGUUCUUCAAUAA